GGUUGAUCCUGCCAGUAGUCAUAUGCUUGUCUCAAAGAUUAAGCCAUGCAUGUCUAAGUAUAAACAUCUUUAUACUGUGAAACUGCGUACAGCUCAUUAUAUCAGCAAUAAUUUAUUUGAUGGUGCCUUACUACUUGGAUAACCGUAGUAAUUCUAGAGCUAAUACAUGCGUUAAAGUCCCAACUCUUACGGGGAGGGAUGUAUUUAUUAGAUAAAAAACCAAUGCGGUGCAAACCGGUAUUGUGGUGAAUCAUAGUAACUGAUCGGAUCGCAUGACUUCACGUCGGCGACAG
rnacentral:rRNA from 1 species